CAGGGCCUCCCAACCCCACCUCGGAGAGUCCGGAUGAACCUUCCAUUGGGACUUUCUUUCUACUCACACUGUUAACGCUUUGAUGACAAGACAACGGCGCUGAAGUGUGGUCAGCUGGCCUUUUCCACCAAGUUUUACUCUGGGGCCUGUGGACAGUUGGAGGAGCGGAAGGCCAGGCAUGCACGCAGGGUCUCCCGGCGGGAGCACCUUCAGGGCGUCCGUGAAGGGAACAUAAUAUGAAUGGCAUUAUGGGGCUC